AAUGAUGUGGUCUCCUGGAUUGGAUGCUAGAAUGGAAAAAGACAUUAGUGAAAUCCAAACAAAGGAUAUAAUUUAGUUAAUAGUGUGUACCAAUGUUAACCUCAGUUUUAUAACUGUACCCUAGUUACGUAAGAUGUGAACAUGAGGGCCGCUGGGUGAAGGGUGCAGGGAACUCUUCCAUCCGUACAACUCUUCUGUAAAUCUAAAAUGAUUGCAAAACAAACAAGCGCUACAUAUCUUGGAUAAUUGUUCUGGUUAUAUUUUAAUUCUUGCUCAAUCAAAAAAUCUGUCAAGUCUUUUGUGUUUUUGAGUGUUGUGCUUUAAAGCAUUGGGGGUGAGGGUUUGCCAGAUCUGGUGCUUCUGAGGUUUCUGGGUAAGAACAAAGGUCUGGCUAGAACCUCGGAAUCUUCCCCUCCAGCUGGAGCCCGGAACUCAGCAUCCCAGGGAGGGGCCUCGCUGGAGCCAUGCCCUCUCCUGCAGGGUUGCUGGCUUCUGGCGAUGAAAAGAUGCUCAACAAAGCUCGAGGGAACUUUUCCCUCCAGGUUCACAGGGGACAUUUCUCAGGUGUAAGAGCUGUCCACGAAGCUCGCUGGUUGCUCCAGAAUGGGUGGGUAGGAGAGAAAAGGCCCUUCCCACAAGGGUGGAGGAAUCCCAGAGCCGCUGAGCUGGGAGAUCUCAGUGCUCACGGGUCUGAUGCGCACAUUGCAGAGUCUGGGAGAACAAAGGCCAGAGAGACGGGGAGGCCGGGCCACGCCUGCCCCGAGCGAGGGUAGGGCAGUGCUGGCCUUUGAGUCCAGGUCUCUUGAUCUGCAAUUCUAGGGCCCUUCUCAUUAUUUCAUCUUUGUCCCUGAACUUGACAAGUAGGUGUCUGUGUAAGGGGAACUUGUCUCUGGGCUUCAGAGAGCCCAGAGCUUAAUUCCUGGCUCCUUGUGACUCCCUCUGCCUCUGUGGAGGAAAAUGUCUCCUUUUCCAUUACUUACAAGAGGUGGGCUCUGUGAGAGGCCUCCAAUCUGCCAGCUGCCGACACUUCGCAGAAUGAAAUCAUCCUGCUGAAUUGAUAAAUUCCGGAACUACUUCCAUCUGAGGCCUGGCCGGUCCCCACCUGGUGCACUUGACUGAGGAGGGUUCUGCUCCAGUUCACCUCUCUCAGCUGACGUGGGUGUUCAGCUGAGACGAAUGGGCUAUAUUGCCAUGAAAUUUCCCCAGAAUUUGUGCCAUGCCGCCCCCCAGCCUGCCAGACCACACAGGGGCCUCAGGAUCUGCCUGAACAUCUCAUCGAGGCUCGGUCUGCCUAGAAGACACUUUGGGAAAAAGCGAUUGCUUCUAAAAUCGUUCGCAGUAAAGUGCCUCUGAUUUAUUUUGCUUGAGGAAAGAAAGAAAUGAUCCUGGCCUAUGGCUUUGAGCAGGAAGGUGAUGGGGAGACGGGAGCAGUGGUUCUCAGCAGGCUAUGCAGUAGAAUCACCUGGUGACCCCAUUCCGAUUUAAUCGAUUUGAGGGCCCAGGCAUGGGUAUUUUUCACAGUGCCUUAAAUAGCUUUCCUAAACAGCUCGGGCUGAGAACAGGAUCGGAGGGAAAGGGGGAAAGAGCCUUGAAGUCAGCGGAUGGGAUUCCUUAUGUUUGCUAAGUCAAGAAACUUUCUAGAGAGGGGAAGGACUUGCCCGAGGUUCUGUAUAUUGUUGGCAAAUAAAAUUCAAGUUUCAGCUGAGCAAAAAUCUGUGCGUCACCUAGUCUGUGCUGGGUGAGCAGGAAACCAGGAUGUGAGGGGUGGUUUCUCCCAGCCACUCACCCAGCUGUCACAGGAAGCAGAAGAGGGGAAGGGCCAAUCCCAACAGAGAAGUUUGGGGAGGCGGCGCCCAGCUCCCACCAUGGUCCCCUCCACCAUCUCCUCCCGCAUAACGCUGCAAACCUGAAGGUUGAGUGGCGGUCUCCUUUGAACAGCCUCUCCUUUGAGAGCGAGGAUGUGAGAAGCCGGUCCAGGUGUCGGUCAGUGGAGUGACAUCCUUGAGCUGCAAUUUCGGGAAGUCAUCUGGUCAUCUGUGCAAGUGGCUGCCAAGAAAAUCCCAGAGCAAAACAUUGAAACACAGCCCAGUGAAGGGGAUUCUGCAGGAGGCUGAGUUCCUGUGAUCCAAGACCUGAACUAUCACACGUAUGAUAUGUGUUCCCCUGUGCCUGGUUCCUUUCUGCAUCGUCUGUAAGUGAGCCGCCGCUGUUGUGGAGCAGGAGGGCACUGCUUUGGAUACAGGUGGUAUCCUCUUGCACAUGAAAAGAGACCUUGACAGCUGCCAGAAGCUUUGGGUGUCUUCCAGUGCCACAUCUCAGCCAGGGCAGGAGCCCCUGACGGGUGUCAUCUGGACUCUGAUUGAACAUCUGCAGGGAGAGGUCACCACCUCCUCUGAGUGCAUUGGAGGGCAAUGCAAAUUGCUAGAAAGUUCUUCUCCGUGCAGGUGUGGCUUGGCAGAGGUGAACCCAGAUUUGGGGGUGGUAGGAGGUAAUGAGAGUGGAAGAAGGGUCCCUCCAAUGAGGUUUCUGCAGCAGCAGGCUGAGCGCCCCAACUUUCUCCUUGGAAAUAAGACAUCCUCCUUUUGCUAAAGAGAGAAAACUAUCUGUGGUCUCCUGCCACACAGUCUUAGGUUUAAGUCCUAGCUCUGACUCCUAGAAGUGUGAUCUUGAGCCAUCUCUCAAACUCUCUGGGUCUCAGUCUCCUCUUAUUUAAAAUAGGAUCAUAAUACUUACCUCCCAGAUCUCUUUGAGGAUUAAAUAAUUUGAUGUUUGUGAAAUGUUCUUUGUGGAAAACAACUGUGAGUUACAUGUUGCCUCCGCAGAGCCCAGCUCACAGUUCUGAGGUGCUGGUCCUGGAUGUGAGUUUGGGGGUGCCUGUCUGCAGUGGGUUGGAUGGUGACCCCUAAAAAGAUAUGCCCAUGUUCGAAUCCCAGAACUGCGAAUGUGACCUUAUUUGGAAAAAGGGUCUUUACAGAUGUAAUACAAAGAAGAAUCUUGAAAUUAGCUCACCCGGGAUUAUCUGCAUGGACUGUAGAUUAGUAACAAGUGUCCUUACAAAAGACAGAGGAAACCCCCACCCAGACCACAGCCAGGUGGCAGAAGAAGCUGCAGAAGUUUUUUGGGCUGCUUAAAGCAUGGAGCCGCAGUGAAGAUGAGCAAUCUUAACAAAGCCAUCCCUCCCGCCAGAGCAGAUGGCACAAAAGGCUGCUUGCUUUUGAUCCUCAUGUCUUUGUAA
rnacentral:lncRNA from 1 species